rnacentral:rRNA from 1 species
AACUCGAUCUCAAAUCAAGUAAGACUACCCGCUGAACUUAAGCAUAUCAAUAAGCGGGAGGAAAAGAAACUAACAAGGAUUCCCCCUAGUAACGGCGAGUGAAGCGGGAUGAGCUCAAAUUUAAAAUCUGGCUGGUUUACUAGUCCGAAUUGUAGUUUAAAGAAGCGUUUUCGGUGGCAGCCUGGGUAUAAAUCCUUUGGAACAGGGUAUCAUAGAGGGUGAGAAUCCCGUCUUUGACUCAGUGCAUGCUACUAUGUGAUACGUUUUCAAAGAGUCGAGUUGUUUGGGAAUGCAGCUCAAAAUGGGUGGUAAAUUUCAUCUAAGGCUAAAUAUUGGCGAGAGACCGAUAGCGAACAAGUACCGUGAGGGAAAGAUGAAAAGAACUUUGAAAAGAGAGUUAAACAGUGCGUGGAAUUGUUGAAAGGGAAACGCUUGACACCAGUCAUGCGAGCGGAAAAUCAGUCUUUUGCAGUGGGGAGUUGUGUGGGUUCGGACCGCAAGGCCGGCCUGUGCUGCAUCUCUGCUGUAAGUGAUGCACUUUUUCGUUUGCAGGCCAACAUCAGUUUCUUCUGCUGGACAAAACUCUUGAGAAGGUAGCAGCUUUGGCUGUGUUAUAGCUCUUGAGCGAUACAGUGGAGGGGACUGAGGUUUUCGCAGCGCGUGCUCUCGGGCAAGGCUGAUUGGGUGCUAUGGGAUCGUUCGGUGUACAAUGCAUGCAUUUUGCGCCGUGUCUUUUCUAUACUCGCUCAACUCGGCUCUUCCGCGCUUAGGAUGUUGGCUUAAUGGUUUUAAUCGACCCGUCUUGAAACACGGACCAAGGAGUCUAACAUAUAUGCAAGUGUUUGGGUGGCAAACCCAUGCGCGUAAUGAAAGUGAACGUAGGUGCGAUCCGCAAAGGUGCAGCAU